CGGCGGACGGGUGAGUAACGCGUGGGUAACCUACCCUGUACACACGGAUAACAUACCGAAAAGUAUGCUAAUACGGGAUAAUAUAUUUGAGAGGCAUCUCUUGAAUAUCAAAGGUGAGCCAGUACAGGAUGGACCCGCGUCUGAUUAGCUAGUUGGUAUGGUAACGGCUUACCAAGGCGACGAUCAGUAGCCGACCUGAGAGGGUGAUCGGCCACAUUGGAACUGAGACACGGUCCAAACUCCUACGGGAGGCAGCAUG
rnacentral:rRNA from 1 species